UACGUAGGGUGCAAGCGUUAAUCGGAAUUACUGGGCGUAAAGCGUGCGCAGGCGGUGAUGUAAGACAGGUGUGAAAUCCCCGGGCUUAACCUGGGAACUGCACUUGUGACUGCAUCGCUGGAGUGCGGCAGAGGGGGAUGGAAUUCCGCGUGUAGCAGUGAAAUGCGUAGAUAUGCGGAGGAACACCGAUGGCGAAGGCAAUCCCCUGGGCCUGCACUGACGCUCAUGCACGAAAGCGUGGGGAGCAAACAGG
rnacentral:rRNA from 1 species